AUGAAUCACUAAUUGACUGGUCCGAUCUCAGAUUCACCAUGGUGCUUGAUGAAGAUUUUGAGUAUAAUAAUUUUAAUUUUGCUUUCAUUGAAUAGUCGGUCAAUAUCUAGUAUUUGAUCGACCUUAUUUAUUUAUCCAUGAGGUAUCUUUCGUUUGUAUAUAAAACCAAGCAAAAACUGAAGACGUGCAAGAUAGUAGCUCUUAUAUA
rnacentral:lncRNA from 1 species